rnacentral:rRNA from 1 species
CCUACGGGAGGCAGCAGUAGGGAAUCUUCCGCAAUGGACGAAAGUCUGACGGAGCAACGCCGCGUGAACGAUGAAGGCCUUCGGGUCGUAAAGUUCUGUUGUUAGGGAAGAACAAGUGCUAGUUAAAUAAGCUGGCACCUUGACGGUACCUAACCAGAAAGCCACGGCUAACUACGUGCCAGCAGCCGCGGUAAUACGUAGGUGGCAAGCGUUGUCCGGAAUUAUUGGGCGUAAAGCGCGCGCAGGCGGUUUCUUAAGUCUGAUGUGAAAGCCCCCGGCUCAACCGGGGAGGGUCAUUGGAAACUGGGAAACUUGAGUGCAGAAGAGGAAAGUGGAAUUCCAAGUGUAGCGGUGAAAUGCGUAGAGAUUUGGAGGAACACCAGUGGCGAAGGCGACUUUCUGGUCUGUAAACUGACGCUGAGGCGCGAAAAGCGUGGGGAGCAAAACAGGAUUUAGAUACCCCUGGGUAGUCCCGACGCUAGUAAACGAAUAGAGUGCUAAGUAGUUAGUAGGGUUUACCGGUCCCUUUACGUUGUCUGUAAGUUAACGUACAUUAAGUACACUCCGCCGUGGGGUAGGUACGGUCGCGAAGACUAGAAACUACAAAUAGAAGUUAGACGGCGUGAGACGUAGCCGAACGGACGACGACGAGGGAAGGUAGG